GGGAUGGUUACAUAUUCUGGCUAAGGGAGGCCAUUACAUUAAUGCCUUCAGCUUUCCGCACAGCCCAUAUUGCUUUGGUGGACGCUUUGAAAUGUCUGGUCGUUAUAACUCAGUCACUCAAGACACCUCACUUAAAAAUUCUAGUUAUGGAAUAAUUGUGAUGCCAUAGGAAGAAAAUUAAGCAAGCUGUCUACUCUUGGGAAAUGUUAACAAAUGCCUGUGCAUACUGUGAAGAGUCCACGGGGAAGAAAAUGAGCCACACAAGAUGGUCCCACCUAUAUUUAUUAUACACUGAUCACUAUGAAGACAUAAAGAUUUGUUAAAAGUGGCCUUUGAAGAGCAUGUAAUUGUGUCCAGAAUUGGCGGGUUCUUGGUCUCACUGACUUCAAGAAUGAAGCCGCAGACCCUCACGGCUAAGACAUCCAAGGUCAAAGGGCCUACAUCUGGUGAAGGUCUUGCUGCUUUAUCCCAUGGUGGAAGGCAGAUGGGUUCACAGAAAAUAGAAAUUCUUUACACAGUCUUCUGAUCAAUAGAAUCAAAGCCCUUUUUCUGUAAAUACUGGCUAGAGAGUUGCUAACUUCCAUAAUGGAGAAAUGGAAAAAGCAGUUUCUUUCUCCAAUAAAACCACAAAAGCCAUGGUUUUAAAAGAAACUAUAGAGGAUUUCUUGUGUGGAGUCCUUAGCUUUGUGACUGCUGAGAUUUAAGACAUAGGAAAUCAUGACUUCCUCGUGGCAGCCUCAUGAUUCUGAGAUCACAGCACGUGCAUUUGAUAUUGCAUUGUUUACAAAUUGAAGAUGUGUGGUGACCCCGCGACAAGCAAGUCUACCAAAGCCACUUUUCAGCAGCAUCUUCUCACUUCCUGUCUCUGUUUCAAUUAUGAGAACAGAUGUAGAGAUUAGAAUCGGCAAAGGGAAAAGGCCCAUGGGAUGAAGGCCAGAAGAAAUCAAGCUACAAGUUUUUCUCUCCAGUGGAGUCCCAUGAGGAUGCACACAACUCUCCCAGCAGCAAUGUGGGACAACACAUGCAAAGUAUUGGCCAUCAGGGAAGCUCCCCCCAGCUUUGGUCACCAGGGUUUUUUAUUGGUUGUCAGUCAUGCACACAUUCAGUGCUUCUGUGACUGACCUCACCCACCAGACUGUAACCUCAAGAGCAAAAUCAGAUUUUUUUAGUGUGCAAAAUGUCUUUCUCAAUAUUGAAAAUCCAUAUGAGUACAUGGACAAUUUCACAUACCAUGUGGACUUGCGAAAUAUUACCUAAUUUAGAGGGUUUGAAAGCUCAGAAGUUGUGUCCGGAGUUGUUUCCUUCCGGUGGGUUCAUAGUCUCACUGACUUCAAGAAUGGAGCCACGGACCUUCACGAUAAGUCAUUCCACUUCUUCUGAGGGAGUGAAGAAAGAGGCCAAGUUCAGAAUUGUACCAAUUGACUACCUUGACCUGGACAUAAGCACCAGAAUGGUUGCACUCAACAACAAAGACUGUACUGGGAAUAGAAAGAUGAACAAGACAGUGCACUUCCCUUCAAAGAGCUUACAGAAUCACAACCAGCAGGAAGAUAAAAAGCAGAUGGAAUAGCAAUAACAACAACUAAAGGACAGAAAAACCUAGCAACCACAAGGCAAGAGCAAGAUAAAAAUAAGAAUAAUAAAAGAUAAAUGCACGAAUUCCUAAACACCUUCCUCCUCUUCUCUCAGGAGUUCCAAUGCCUGAAUAGGAAAAUAACAGACAUCCCAGAAGAAUACUGAACAAUGCAUACAAAUAAGUACAUCGCUGAAGAAGCAAACUGCCCAAUAAAGUCUUCAAUCUCUGUGGUGGUAAGAAUGAUCAGGGAAAUAAUAAGUGGCUAGAACUGGAAGAGUGAGGGGUUGUAGCAGAUAGAGGCAAGCCGGUCAUCUCCCACUCCUCAUGGAGUUUCAGGCUCUCUCCACUGUUUUCUUUUUGUGGUUACUCAAAGUACCUGGAUUUCCUACAUGAUGGUUCACACAGUUCCAAAGGAUCCGGAGAAAGACCAGUUAGAAG
ensembl:lncRNA novel transcript